GCUGUAGUUCAGAGGUAGAACAUCUGCUUUCCACACAGAAGGCCUCAGGUUCAUCCCCCAGCAUCACCA